GCUACUCCAGAGGCUGAGGCAGGAGAAUCUUUUGAAUCUGAGAGGCAGAGUUUGCGGUGAGCUGAGAUCAUGCCACUGUACUCCAGCCUAGGCCACAGAGCAAGACUCUGUAAUUGUUACGUAAUUGUUACUUUGUGUACUUUAUGCGUAGCAACCAUAAGCACUGAGUGGGAUAAAAUAUAGUUCACUAGCUCUGAGAAGUAGGAUUUCUGAUGAUGUGACUCUACACAAUUCAUUUCAAUCUUUUCCUACCAGUGAUCACCAUUGUACAUUUCAUACCAGGCAAAUCUCUUUCUUUCUUUUGUGUACAUAGCAGGCAUCUCAUUUACUUUCAGUUAUUUCAAACUGGUGUACUUUUGCAUGUGUCUAGUUACAGGAAACCAACUUAUGAGAAUUAUGAACUGCCUGCCCGGAGCCAGAUAGGACAGAAGAGUCCUUCAGAAAUCAGCGUUCACGUUGGAAUAGAUGAUACCUCAAGAAAUUCUCCUAAACUAGGUUUGCUGGACCGGAUUGUUAAUUAUAGCAGAGCCUCUAUAAACUCACUACUGUCUGAUAAACGCUCCCUAAACAGCGCUGUUACCAGUGAACCUGACAAGCAUUCACUCCUGAAGACACAGCUGAUAGGGCAAAUGUUGAAAAAAGAAGCAUCCCUCCUCUCUCCCACACACCUCAAGCAGUUGAACACAGCCAGUUACUUUUCCAUUAUUAUGUGUGCCUUUGAGUCAUCCUCUUGGUCUUGUAUGCGUAUUGUGGGACAGCGGGAAUAGCAGCUUGUAGUCUUGAAAUAAUCAAAGAUAGAAUGUCAGCUCUUACUACAAGAACAGAAAACAUGCUAUUUAGAAAGAGUCCUGCUUUAAGUAACAUGUAGCCACAUUUGAAUCCUCUACCACAAGUCUUUUUUGCAAUCUUGAACUUUCAUUAGCUUCAGAGAGACACUAUUCACAGGAGAAAUACCUGAUUAUGGAAAGAAUCAAAAAUACUGCUUUCAGUUAGUAGCUAGCUUUAAGUCAGGUGUUACUAAUGAGAACAAAUUUUAUAAAUGUGUGUUUGUGUGUAUUCACAUACGUAUAUAUACACUUACAUAUGUACAUAUACAUAUGCACAUAUUGCCAUACUGAAGGGAAAUGGAUUUAUAUUUGAACUUGAUAUUUGAAUGUUAGAAGUUCUCUAUAUGUAUUUCAUUUAUCACUCUUUUGUAUUCACUCAGCAACCAUGCCCUUAGUCUGAGAUAACAAGGAUACUUUAAUAUCCAGUGCUGGUUCAGACUCACCUAUGGGGCACCUUAAACUUAAAUAUCCAAAGAUGCCUUUUGAAUUUCAAAGAUUAAAACACAGCUAGAGUAGUAGUGUUGUAGUCUCAAGAUGUAAGGUUGUCAUUUGUGAAAAUAGAAAUGUUAUUUUUCCUAGUUUAGUAUCAGCAUUUUGGAAUGUCACAUUUCAUGCCUUGUGAACACGUAAUUUUAUAUUUUAAUUUUUUGAAAAAUAUUCUGUAUUUAGAUAUAUAGAAUGCUUAAAAUAGCACUGUGGACAAGAUGUUUCUAAAACUAAGUGUGCAUAUCUUUUCUGUAUACAGCUUAAAAUCAAAAAUGUAUGUUAAGAGAUUUUUUUUCUAUUACUUCUGGAUCAUGCUUUGAAAUCAUUUUUCUUGAUAUUUAUUUUACUCCAUUUUGUUAUUUUCUCGGGGUGAGGCAUCUGGUUACUGGUUAUUUUAAAAAAAAUAAAGACAUUCCUAGAAUCACUCCUUUUGGGUUUUUCUUUGUUUUGUUUCUUUUCUAUAUUUUAAAGUAUUAUUUUACAAAAUAUAAAAAAUAUAGAUUCAUGCCAAAUUAUUACCUAUUUUUACAUUAACUUUCUGCAGUCCCUCCAUCUGGUAUGAGUAAACCAGAUAGAGCACAAAGCAUGAGUUCUUGUUCUUCAGUUAAAAGAGCUUCUUUAACAGUGUUGAUAACAAAUGCCUUUGGUAGCCAAAACCAGGAGUCUCAACCUUAUGUUUUUAGUUAAAUAAAUGUUUAGCUAAACAUUGUUAAACAUUGAUUAUUUGAUACCCAAAACAGCAGUGGACAAUGUUGUGCAAUAUCCAUCUACUGUAGUUAAGAUAUUUGGUAGUUUAUUUUUCAUAAGCAUGUAAUUGAUCAUAUUUCUGCCAAGGAUGUGCCUUAAACUUUAUAAUUAUAGUGUUAAAAAUUUU